AGCCGCUCCCAGGCCACACGGGCAGGGCGCUCGGGAUGCUCGGCGUUGGCGAGUGCAGCGGGCGGUAGAGAGAAAGACAGAGAGAGAGGCGGAGCGGACACGAGGGACCGUGAGAAAACGGAGGAGGAUAAGCCCCGAGAACGGCGGAAAGAGAAGCCAAAAGCAGAAAAACAGAGGAAGGAGAAGGCGAGAAGGGAAGGCUAGCCAGAGGACACAAAUCCAGGAGCCAUUCCUUCUGCCUGGGAGGAGGGAGUGAUGAAGACCAGAGGAAUCCCAGAGGAGAAGCCAUCUGAGAUCGGGAGGAGGAGAAAUGGAACAUCAGGCGGAGGAAACAGCCCAGACAAUCGCACUGGGACGUGAAAACCCUUGGGCUGCAUGCGGGGAGAAAACCAGAAUUGGGGAUGGUUAGGGUUUUGGAGGGAAACACAGGGACAUGUGACCAAAAAUAAUAAUAACUACUGUUACUUAUUGAGGACUUUCUAUGUACUAGAAUAAGAAAAUCAUGAUAGCUAAGACUGAUAAAACGCUA
rnacentral:lncRNA from 1 species